rnacentral:rRNA from 1 species
AUUGAACGCUGGCGGCAGGCCUAACACAUGCAAGUCGAGCGAGCGGCGGACGGGUGUGUAAUGCAUGGGGACUGCCCGAUAGCGGGGGAUAACUACUGGAAACGGUAGCUAAUAACGCAUACUAUCGGAUAACCCAUAUGGGAUUAGCUAGUAGGUGAGGUAAUGGCUCACGUAGGCGACGAUCCCUAGCUGUACUGAGAGGAUGAUCAGCCAAACUGGAACUGAGACACGGCCCAGACUCCGACGGAGGCAGCAGUGGGGAAUAUUGGACAAGGGGCGCAAGCCUGAUGAAGCUAUGCCGCGUGUAUGAAAAAGGCCCUAGGGUUGUAAAGUCCUUUAAGUCGUGAGGCGUUACCGACAGAAGAAGCACCGGCUAACUCCGUGCCAGCAGCCGCGGUAAUUC